rfam:Anaerosphaera aminiphila DSM 21120 genome assembly, contig: EJ13DRAFT_scaffold00020.20
AUAAGAGCUGAAAGCAUCUAAGCACGAAGCCCCCCUCGAGAUGAGAUUUCCCUCGAAAGAUAAGACCCCUUGAAGAAAAUGAGGUAGAUAGGCUCAAGGUGAAAGAGCAGUAAUGUUUGAAGCUAAUGAGUACUAAUAGGUCGAAGACUUGACCAA